CAGCAGCCGCGGUAAUACGUAGGGUGCGAGCGUUAAUCGGAAUUACUGGGCGUAAAGCGUGCGCAGGCGGUUUGUUAAGACAGAUGUGAAAUCCCCGGGCUUAACCUGGGAACUGCAUUUGUGACUGGCCGGCUAGAGUAUGGCAGAGGGAGGUGGAAUUCCAGGUGUAGCGGUGAAAUGCGUAGAGAUCUGGAGGAAUACCGAUGGCGAAGGCAGCCAUCUGGCCUAAUACUGACGCUGAGGUACGAAAGCAUGGGGAGCAAACAGGAUUAGAUACCCGUGUAGUCCCUGUCUCUUAUAA
rnacentral:rRNA from 1 species